CAGAAUAAAAAUACAAAUGGUUGAUCAAUGAAGAGUGUUAGUAAUAACAAAGUAAAUAUUUUUCAAAUGUCAGUUGAGUAUUUUAGAACAUGUCAAUCUGCUCAAUGCUGAGAACAAAGCUAUGCACAUUAAUUGUGCAUUUUCUUCACUUCCUUUUUACAGGAAUAUGUCACAUCCAACAAUUCCCAAUUCAAGUGGAAAUAUCAGACAGGUGCUGACUCGCUACAGAAGCGUUUCAUUGGUAAUUAUCACAAAUUCUCUAUUCAUCUAUGGAUGUUUCCAAUCAAGCUUUCAAUAUCUAAAACAGAAUGAAACAAAAACGGAAGAUGAUGGAAACACUCAACAAGCUAGGCAGCACCCAGUCAGAGAGGGAAACAGAUUCAACACCCCAGACCAAAGACAAAAACAUUGUAGGAUUCUGUGUUGAGAAGUCCAAAAGGAAGUCUGCAACACCAUCUUACAGCUGCAAGAGUGAUGGCAGAGGACUCUGUUCUCAAUCAGGUUCCCAAUGCAACAGCUUAGAAAGCAGAGGUUUGUGAUAAGUGUCCAGUACAGCAGCAUCUACGGUAAAAUAUCGACAUAAUUUUUUGCUUCAGUUGCUGAUUCCAUUGGUGCUCUCAUUCCAGGGAAUUAGCAUCACCAUGGUACCUGUGUAACCAGAAAGCAUGUAUACUUUGCAAACUGUAGCAUUUGCUAGAGCACAAUGGAGUUAAGGUACCUCAUAACACAUCUGGAAAGUAUUAUUUUAAAAUUUACGUACAGGUUGAGUAUCCCUUACCCAAAAUGCUUGUAGCUGGAGGUGUUUCAGAUUUCAGACUUUUUCAGAUUUUGGAAUAUUUAAUGAGACAGUCUGUGAUUGCCAUUAUUUUCAACUCAGAAUUUAUGAGCUACCAGUCAGCAGUCUUUGUCUUACACUUGUUCAUCACACAUAUGUACUUAACUGUAAGAACUAUUACAACCCAUUAAAAUAACAAAAAUAUGAUGUGUGCAGAGUAACAAAAGCAGCACAUAAGCAUUUGGAGAAUACUUGAAUCUGCCAAUGAACAACAGCAACCAACAGCAGGCUUUCAGACUCCGCCUAUAAUGUUGUGUUUUGAUUAAACGGUUACAGUGCACUGUAUUUGUAUUUUACUUUAUAUUUAUUGGUAAGGAAUAAAAACAAUCAGCAUUGUAGACUUGUUCUGGUGUUAGAUUUUCAUCAGUGACAAUCUUUAAAAUUUUUAAAUCUUUAAAAAUUGAGUGCCGUGGCUUAAAUUUUUGCAACCAGCCUGCUGAAUAUUCACAAUCACUUUCAAUUUUCAGUUCAUCAUGAUAGAUCUUUGCUUAUUUCAUGAUCAACAUGCCAUUAAGCGGUAUAUGUUCAUUCAGACGCUAGCGAAUCCUUUCUUUCAAUACAUCAACAAAAUCUUUAUCUUUCGCUUUAUGCUAUGUUUUUCUAUUUUUCAUUAAUUUAUUUUCAUUACAUAUGAGGUAACUUCUCCAAAAUGCUUGUGAUGCAGAGACCUACACAUUGCCUGGAGCCUUCCCAACGCCUUGUGGAAUUUUCAAAUUGUAACAUCAUGCCAGUGCUCAAAAAAAGAUUUUGGAGGCUUUUGGAUUUUGGAAUUUGGGAUAAGGGGUACACAACCUGGAGUAUCUUUCAGAGCUCUAAAGUCACUCCAUUAUGAUGUACAAAUCACAGCAAUCAUAGAAUUAUAAAUUGGUAUUCUGUUUAUGAUGUAAACGAAGAGAUAAACAUUAUUUAGAACAUGCAGAAUAACACACUUGCUCUCUUAAAUUAGCACCUUCUUUGAAACUUACUAGAACUUCAGGUGACACUCCAAAUUAGCAUCAUGCCCAAAAAACUGAACUAUUUCAUUCAUUUUUCAGAUACUGGGUGUCGCUGUCAAUAACAGCAUUUAUUAAACACUGUUAAUUACUCUCAAAUUGUUGUUGAGAGUUGGACUGCUGGUAAAGGGUUAUUUGAUAGAGUUCCAUGAUUUAGAGCAUAUAGCGUUGAAAAAAUAGAGGUAUUUCCAAGUCAGGAUAGUGUGUGACUUCAUGUUGGAAUAUACAUGGUGGAAAAUAAAUGAGUUUAAACCCUUAUCCUUCUUGGUGGUAGAAGUCAUGGGUUUGGCAAAUGUUGCCAUAGUGAGUAAGGUCACUGCAUCUUAUAGUGGAUACACACUGUAGUUCCAUUCAAUGGAGCUGUUUGGUACUGGAUGAGAUUUUAUGAGCUUUACGAGAAUUGUCAGAGCUGGACUUAUACAGGCAAAGAACAAGUAUUUUAUCACUCUGGACUUGCAUUUUACAAAUGAUGAAAGAGGUCUGGAGUGCUACUAGGCAAAUCACAGAAAUGUCGUCAAAUCCAGUGUACUUAUGCAGCGGCCCAGUUGAACUUCUGGUCAUGCUGAAUCUGGUCACUGCUGAACCUAGGAUUUUGAUACUGGAAAAUUGGCAAUAGUAAUGCCAUUAAAUACAAGGAGUAGAUGGUUAAACCUAUUGUUGUAUAUGGUCAAUUUCUGGAAUUUCUAUGCCACAAAAGAGUAUAAUGAAGCCAAUGAACAGGAUUCAGAGUCUUCCACAGAUAGGACAGAUUGUGGCAGGUACAGCGGGGUAGAAUAUUAUUAUUAAUAUUAGGUUAUGCACUCCUUUCGCUACAGUGUGCUACUGAUACAGGGCCUCAUCGUGAACCAAAAUACGACUCCCCCACUUACAGUGGUCAGGAACCACAGUUUCUCAAGGGGUGUCAGCAGAGAUGAUCAAAGAGACUUUAUCAUGGGAAGAGAUUAUCAGGAAAACAGAGGAAAGGAUUCAAGUAUAUGUUCAGCCUUGCAGGUGAGUGUCUCAUGUUGGUGUAAUAGUUUUCUCUGAUUUAACUCAAGCCCAAGCUCUUUAGUUUCAAAUGGCAUUGCUACCAAUUAAGCCACUGCUGAGACAAAACUUGACACUGAUAAAUAAGGAAAUAUCAAGCCAUGUAAUCAAAAGGUGAAAAAUGGAAAUAGAACACCAGCACUCAAGCAACUGGCAACUUAAAGCAUGAUCUGAAAUGACAGAACUAUUAGAUUUGGAAGAUCAAGACACCAAAGCUGGAAGAACAGAAAACUAAUGCUGGAAGAGGUGAGAGAAGGGGGGUAAAGCCAUGAAUAUUGUUGAAAACAAGGUAAGAAUCUUUAUAUCAAGUGGUUGUGUAACUGGGAUAGAAUGUAGGUCAGCAAGAACAGUUACAUGAGACUUUGUGCAUGUUGGAACACAAUUUUGAAUUACCCAGUCUGCAGAGGGCAGAAUUGGACAAGAUAACUGGUAGCUUAUUGGAAUAGUGAGGCAUGAUCUAACAAAGGCAGGGAAGAGCACUUCAGAUGAAGGUGGAGCUGGCCAAAGGUGGCAUUAAGGUAUUGAAAAUAAGAGUGUGGUGGGUGUUAUUGAACAUCUCAGAUGAACAUGAUAUCAAGGCUUCAAAGUUUGUGGAUCUGUUUUGAAUUAUUUCUAACAAGAAUGAAGUCAGGAGUUAGGGAAUAGAUUGCAACAGGUAAUUAAGACAUCAACUUUGAUCUUUUAAACUAUUUGUUGUAGACAAUCUUUACUUAUCCAGUGCUGAAUGACAGAUAAGCAAUUUUAAUAUUUCCAAGGCAAUGGAACAGUUAAGGAUAUAGGGUGUGAGGCAAAGUGGGUGUCAUUAGUGUAUUCGAUGAUGGAGGAAACAAGUUGGAUAUGAGCAGAUGUAGCUGUAAUCAGUGGAAUGACAGAGUAUUUUUGUAUGAUUUUGCUGAAGAGAAUAGAAAGGAGAUCAGAAUACAUUUUUGGGGAAUGCAAAGAUAGUGAGUAUGGUUAACUAGCUAAGAAAACCAAAUGAAAUUAUUCCCAAUGAACGAAAACUAAAGAAGCAAUGAGACAGAAUUAAUUGUCUCUUUGAAGCUUAUCAAAUGUUGAAAGGCCUCAAAAGAGUGAAUGUGGAGAGGGUGUUCCCUAUGGUGGGAGAGUUUCAGACCAGAGAACACUGCCUCAGAGUAGAGGGCUGACAUUUCAGAAUGGAAUUGAAGAGGAAUUUCUUUAGCCAGAUAGUGCUGAAUCUGUUGAAUUCAUUUCCAUAGGCAGCUGUGGAGGCCAAGUCAUUGGGUAUAUUUAAGGCAAAGGAUGAUAUAUUUUUGAUUAAUCAGGGCAAGAAAGGAUACAGGGAGAAAGCAGGAAAAGAAAUGAUAGUUGUGGAAGAAGAAGAGAAGAAAGCCCUUAACUCCAAGCAGAGUCAUUGGGACGCCGUCAUGACAGCAUUUUUUUUAGCAGGCUUUCUUAUUUUUACAAGGCCGAGUUGCUAGCUCAAAGCUCAACCCAGCAUGGAUAGAAAGCGUGCACGGGAGCUGGCUGGAUUCGAACUUUGCUUCAAAGUCCAGCGCUGAUGCCACACCACCACCAGCUGGCUAGUUGUGGAAGCAAGGUCAGAAAACAAGAUUGUUCAGUGCAUACUUUGGUACUGGAGUGGGCAUGAGAAGGAGACAAACUAGAGAAAACAACAAACAAGUGUGUAAGCUCAAGGCUUACAUCUUGGAUGUGAUAAUAAAAGGAGAUAAUAGAAUGAGUGGGAGAACAAACUAUAGCAAUAAGAUAAAGAGUGGAAAAAAUGAAGUCUUGAAUUGCUUUAUACAAAUAUAGGUUCUUUCUUUAUUACAAAAUGCAAACUCAUUGAAUCUGAAUUCUUGUGCAACAUGUUCACAUUUUUUUCCACUAGCUGAAAUAAAAUCUUUCACUUCGAACAAAA